UGUCUGGCAGGAUGUGACCUCUAUAUCGAGCCGAUUUCCAAAUGAUGGAAUAGGCCUAUCCAUUGGUUUCUAUAUCUGUGACUAGUGGGGCGUACUUGUUUGAGUUGAACUCAUGUGCAUUGGAUAUAUUCAUUUCAAAAGGGACUGAUAAUUCGAGGAUGAGAAGUUUCUUUGUGUUCUUCCAAAAAAUACAGACCUACCAUGUCGAAGGGAUGCAAAUCUUUGACUUUGGAGCCGGGCGGUACCCUAAAACUUGUACUCCUGUGUGCAUUGUGUCUUGCCAUCAUAUUUACAGCUGAACGACCACUCACAACUUUAACAGCUCUCUCGACAACAAGCACAAGAUUACAAUUAAGUUGGAAG